rnacentral:rRNA from 1 species
UACGGAGGAUGCAAGCGUUAUCCGGAAUGCUUGGGCGUAAAGCGUCCGCAGGUGGCUAUGUAAGUCUGCUGUUAAAGAGUGAGGCUCAACCUCAUAAGAGCAGUGGAAACUACAUGGCUAGAGUGCGUUCGGGGCAGAGGGAAUUCCUGGUGUAGCGGUGAAAUGCGUAGAUAUCUGGAGGAACACCGGUGGCGAAGGCGGCAUCCUGGACCGACACUGACGCUGAGGAGCGAAAGCCAGGGGAGCAAACGGG